rnacentral:rRNA from 1 species
GACGAACGCUGGCGGCGUGCUUAACACAUGCAAGUCGAACGGAAAGGCCCUGCUUUUGUGGGGUGCUCGAGUGGCGAACGGGUGAGUAACACGUGAGUAACCUGCCCUUGACUUUGGGAUAACUUCAGGAAACUGGGGCUAAUACCGGAUAGGAGCUCCUGCUGCAUGGUGGGGGUUGGAAAGUUUCGGCGGUUGGGGAUGGACUCGCGGCUUAUCAGCUUGUUGGUGGGGUAGUGGCUUACCAAGGCUUUGACGGGUAGCCGGCCUGAGAGGGUGACCGGCCAAAUGGGGACGGAGAUACGGCCCAGACUCCUACGGGGGGGAAGGGGGGGGAAUAUUGCAAAAGGGGCGGAAGCCUGAGGCAGCAACGCCGGGUGCGGGAUGACGGCCUUCGGGUUGAAAACCGCUUUCGCCUGUGACGAAGCGUGAGGGACGGUAAUGGGUAAAGAAGCACCGGCUAACUAAGU